GGGACACGUGGUAUCCUGUCUGAAUAUGGGGGGACCAUCCUCCAAGGCUAAAUACUCCUGACUGACCGAUAGUGAACCAGUACCGUGAGGGAAAGGCGAAAAGAACCCCGGCGAGGGGAGUGAAAAAGAACCUGAAACCGUGUACGUACAAGCAGUGGGAGCACGCUUAGGCGUGUGACUGCGUACCUUUUGUAUAAUGGGUCAGCGACUUAUAUUCUGUAGCAAGGUUAACCGAAUAGGGGAGCCGAAGGGAAACCGAGUCUUAACUGGGCGUUAAGUUGCAGGGUAUAGACCCGAAACCCGGUGAUCUAGCCAUGGGCAGGUUGAAGGUUGGGUAACACUAACUGGAGGACCGAACCGACUAAUGUUGAAAAAUUAGCGGAUGACUUGUGGCUGGGGGUGAAAGGCCAAUCAAACCGGGAGAUAGCUGGUUCUCCCCGAAAGCUAUUUAGGUAGCGCCUCGUGAAUUCAUCUCCGGGGGUAGAGCACUGUUUCGGCAAGGGGGUCAUCCCGACUUACCAACCCGAUGCAAACUGCGAAUACCGGAGAAUGUUAUCACGGGAGACACACGGCGGGUGCUAACGUCCGUCGUGAAGAGGGAAACAACCCAGACCGCCAGCUAAGGUCCCAAAGUCAUGGUUAAGUGGGAAACGAUGUGGGAAGGCCCAGACAGCCAGGAUGUUGGCUUAGAAGCAGCCAUCAUUUAAAGAAAGCGUAAUAGCUCACUGGUCGAGUCGGCCUGCGCGGAAGAUGUAACGGGGCUAAACCAUGCACCGAAGCUGCGGCAGCGACACUAUGUGUUGUUGGGUAGGGGAGCGUUCUGUAAGCCUGUGAAGGUGUGCUGUGAGGCAUGCUGGAGGUAUCAGAAGUGCGAAUGCUGACAUAAGUAACGAUAAAGCGGGUGAAAAGCCCGCUCGCCGGAAGACCAAGGGUUCCUGUCCAACGUUAAUCGGGGCAGGGUGAGUCGACCCCUAAGGCGAGGCCGAAAGGCGUAGUCGAUGGGAAACAGGUUAAUAUUCCUGUACUUG
rnacentral:rRNA from 1 species